GACGAACGCUGGCGGCGUGCUUAACACAUGCAAGUCGAACGAUGAAAGAGGGAGCUUGCUCCUUCUGGAUUAGUGGCGAACGGGUGAGUAACACGUGAGCAAUCUGCCCUUGACUCUGGGAUAAGCGUUGGAAACGACGUCUAAUACCGGAUACGACCCUCGGAGGCAUCUCCUGGGGGUGGAAAGAAUUUUGGUCAAGGAUGAGCUCGCGGCCUAUCAGCUAGUUGGUGAGGUAAUGGCUCACCAAGGCGACGACGGGUAGCCGGCCUGAGAGGGUGACCGGCCACACUGGGACUGAGACACGGCCCAGACUCCUACGGGAGGCAGCAGUGGGGAAUAUUGCACAAUGGGCGAAAGCCUGAUGCAGCAACGCCGCGUGAGGGAUGACGGCCUUCGGGUUGUAAACCUCUUUUAGUAGGGAAGAAGCGAAAGUGACGGUACCUGCAGAAAAAGCACCGGCUAACUACGUGCCAGCCGCCGCCGUAACAC
rnacentral:rRNA from 1 species